GGCAGGCAGGAGCCCGCCAAGGGAGGCAGCGCCAUGUCCUCCGGUUUGGGGCUCGAGCCUUGGGUUUCCCGGUUUGCUUCUGCAGUUCUGGGGGAAAAAAUCGAGUUUAGAAAGAGCGGAGGAAGCUGGCAUGCCGAGAAGGCAAAGGGCGGGGUACCAGGAACAAGGAAAGGCCCUUCAAAAAGUUCAGGGUUGCAUCCGAAUGAGGAAAAUCGGAACAUAAAGUGGGUUUGUGGAACGUAAAUUCGCAGUAAAGCAUCCCCCCAAAAAAGAUUUUGAGGAUCAACUUACAAAAGACAUAAGCAGCAAUGAAUCCUUUCUCAAACACGUCAAGAUCCUGCCAGAGACUCCAUGUCUGGUAAAUGCUCGAGGUGUGAAGGGAGCUCAGAGGAGAUAAGGCUAUAACGUAGGGACUAAAUGUGGUUUUUACUUCCAUGUUUGUUAAAGAUGACCUCCAGGUGCUUUUCACGCUAGAACGCUGCUUUUUGGGGGGGAAAUGUGUUGGAAGAGCUGUCUCUAAUUGAAAUUGUGGCAGAAUAAUAAAUUGGCAAGAUCGGGUGGCAUUUAUCUGAGAAGUAUAGAGGAAUUCAGAUGUGAAGUAACUGAACUGCUAACUAUGCUGUAUAAUCAUUUGCUUAAGACAGGCUUAGAAUUGGAAGACUGGGUGUACCGUAUGUGACGGAAAUUCAAACUGUUCGAAGAGGAAUCUGGAGAACUAAAAACCAGGUACUGUAUUCCUGUGUUUGGAACAUUAAUGGAUUGCACUACUGAAGAACAUCUAAAUACUGAAACCAGGCUGAAAAACAGUUAGAAGCCACAAAGGAUUGAUUUAUGAGAAAAGAUGAUCACCGUGGUAUUUGCUAUUAUG